ensembl:lncRNA LOC102554278 uncharacterized LOC102554278
CGGACAGCCCAGGCACGCGAUGUGAGAGAGGAUGUGAGACGGAACGGCCGGUUUCGGAAAGAUAAUUACUUCUGGUUGCCACAGCACAGAGGAAACAAUGACCAGCGUGACUAAGAGAGCUCCGUGAAAGACUUGAGAUUUGAAAACCAGCUUUGUCCUUUGGUAUCGCUAAGCUGAGAUCACAGGAGAACACAGCUACGUGUUCAAAUAGUGAACCAGGAGCCCCUUACCUGAGCUGUCAGUAGUAUAAGAACAGAAGAUUACUGAGGAUUAGACAACAGUGAUCUCAGAAUGCUUCAGACUACCCAAAAGUGCUAGAAAGGAGACAAGAUUUUCAGGUGAAGAACAACAGGAAAGGUACAUGUCACUAAGAGCUCAAAGUACAACUAUGCGGCAGUCAGUUCUCUUCCACUGUUUGGAUCCUGGUCAUUGACUCAGUUUGGCUGUUGGCAAUUCUACCUGCUGAACCAUUUUACCAGCCACAGACUUAACAAUGUUUAUUUGAUAUAAAAGUAACUUUUAUCUGCC